AAAGAGGGGAAAUUAAGGUAUAAGAAUUGCUUACUUUCUCUCCGAGGCCUGCCAAGACCGUGUCGCAGAGAAAUCCCCAGUAGAGAAGCUGUUUUUACAAGCCAAGUCUGAAGGAAGGACAACAGCCCGCACCGCCAUGUUUACGGUACAAAGGAGCAGACGGGCCAGUUUAUUAAGCUCUGGGGUGAGAAUGACCACCUUUUUACUGGAGCUAAAAACUCAGCCACCGUGGCUUGGAGAUGGACCAACAGGGGAAGGUCAGCCCCUUGCAGGCCCAAAACAAAGUGGGAGAAUAUGAAAAAGAAAUAUAAAGUUUGUUCAGAACUUCUCAUGUCACACACAAAUAUGACAUGACAACAUGACUACUGUAUGCAAGCAAGGAUAAUAUCAUAGAUGUGAUUAAUGUCUG